UACGAAGGGGGCUAGCGUUGUUCGGAAUCACUGGGCGUAAAGCGCACGUAGGCGGAUUUUUAAGUCAGGGGUGAAAUGCCAGGGCUCAACCUUGGAACUGCCUUUGAUACUGGGGAUCUGGAGUCCGGGAGAGGUGAGUGGAACUGCGAGUGUAGAGGUGAAAUUCGUAGAUAUUCGCAAGAACACCAGUGGCGAAGGCGGCGCUCUGGCCCGAUACUGACGCUGAGGCGCGAAAGCGUGGGGAG
rnacentral:rRNA from 1 species